AUGAUAUCAGUCCUAUUUAUGGAAGUCACAGGUGUGCCAUGGUUUGAAUUUAGUGGUGGAGCCACUAAAGGCAAACCUGGGAGUCAUUUGAAAAUACAAAUAGUUAGGAGGAGAAUCUGUAGUCAUUUCUUGGCUGGUAAUGGUCUCCCUCCACUUUCCUUUUUCUUUUUUUCCUUUCCUUUUUCAGUGAACAUUAUGGACUAUAGCUCUGUUUUAGGAUGUCUUUUUGGCAUGGAGCUAUUGCUGAACAGGUGAGAGAACAGCUGGAUCAGAGGCUAUUGAUGAAAGGACUAGCAGGGUGUAAUUCAGCUGAGGCCAAGAAGGGAAGGAAGGCAGUUCCUUGAGAGCCUUUUGGCAUAACAUCUGCACAGCUUGGUGCCCAUGUGUGGGUUUUGAUCUGUUGGGAUUUUGUGGCAGGAGGUUGGGGUAUUGUUGGCAGUGCUAGAGUUCACUAGGACUGCAUUCUCUAAAAAUUAGGGGCCCAUUGCUGUUUUCAUACUGGCUGACAAAAUUUCUGGUCUGGCAUAUCUUCCUAGGCAGAUGAUUUUUUUCAAAUCUUUGGAUAAAAUAGGGCAAGGAGCAUUUGUACCAAAGUUAUCUGGAGACACAGAAAAGAUAGAAGUGAUUUUGCAAAAGAUAUGGAUACCUUCAUGGCAAAUAUCACUAAUAGCAGUAGGCAAGGCUAUGUUAAAUCUCCAUUUUCACCUCUCGGGGAUUUAGGGCAUGAAGAAAAUGUAACUAUUUCUUAGAGCCCUUCCUCUGGCUUUAGCUGUGCCAUCAACUAUGUUUCUGAGAAAUAGAUGCAUCAGAUCUGCAAUUAAGGAAUGAAUAGUGUGUUCUAUGAGCAGAUACUGGGCAAUGAGGAUCUAUAAAACAGCAUCUUUGCUCUUUAACUUGAAUCUUUUGAUCCAUGCUGUGGACCCCAAGAAAUUGAGGUAUCUUCCUUUCUCUGGGAAAGAAUAUCUUCACUGUUAGUAACUCACCAGAGUGUGUGCUUUUUUCUCAUUCUAGAGAAUAAGGGUAUGUGGGAGUCAGGAAUAUUGAUCCUGCUUGCAAUUCCUUCCCUAAGGUCAAGAGGAUGUUGGCCUAAGUCUUAGAAAUGUGACUUCAGUCUCUAAUCAGCAGGAUGACCAUCAGUAUCUGCUCUGAGUGACCGUUAUUUAUUUAGUUCUGGAUAGAACACAGGCCUUGCUUUCUGGGAAUGAAUAGAUAAAUAUAGAUUGAUGCCUUACAUGUGAAUUUUUUUCCCCCUCUCUCUUUCUCAAACCAUCAUUAAGUCUUUCAAAGUUUGAGGUAAGAGAGUAGGAAUCUAUUCUCUUUAAAACUUAGUCAAAGAAGACUUCCUAGAAUGAGAUGUGCUUUGAUUGGUAGGCAAAAGAGCAGCUCCUCUACUUGUCUAGCAGCACUCUUUAAGGCAGUAAUUGGCUUUGGGAUGAAUACAUAUGUGUGGUGACAUUUGGGCCCCUAGUGUGGUGGUGACUCUAGUUGAAGUAGUCUGAUUUUCCUUGAUACUGGAAGUAAUUGUUAUUAUUUUUUCACUUAUUUUCACUCACCCAUAUCAUUUUAGCACAUGCCAGGCAAGUCAAACAUCAUUCAAGUUCCCAAGUUAAGUGAGGAGCAAGAGAAAUAAGUGACGUGUAGGACUGGCUUUUCCUCAAAGACUGAAUAAAUAACUAAAAAGCCACAAGAAGUAUGAAAUAUAUGUGCUCUGAGCAGGUAACUCAGAGGAUUGAGAAUUCUGAAGGGACCCAGAUCGACAUUUCUGUUCCUGUGUCAUAUAUUAAACCCAAACCCCAGCCUCCACUAUCACUUUUACAUUAGCAAAGCAGGUAUAAUUCCCAACUUUAUGUACUUGCCUGAAAACAGAGUAGACAUAGAAAUGACCGCUGGUCAAAUGGCUGCUCUAGCUUGUUAUCUUUGCUUUAAAACUGUUGAAUGGAAUGAUUGGGAUGAUUGGAGUUAGCAGUAAAAUGGCUGGGAGAGGGUACAUGCUGAUUUCUUUUCCCCUUUCUCUCAAAAAGGCUCACUUUUUAAAUUAUACAAUAGGAUGAAAUCUCAAUUUGUAUCUGUUUUUGCACCCUUUAAACUAUUUUUUUAAAUAUUGGAAGAAUAUUGGUAGAUAUAGGGAUGAAGCUGAGCAGAGGCACUGGGAGAAGCUGGGCAGUUUAGAAAUGCACUUUAGAGUCACAUCAGUUUGGUCUCAGUACAUUUGUAAUAAAAAUCAUCAUUUCCAUGUUGACAACUUGGGACUUCUAACUGACUGUGAAUUAAUUCUCUAUUAUAGACAGCCCUUGUUUUUAAUCUGUGGCAAGGGGGAAUAUUUUCUUUUAAGGAUGCCAGAGGAAAGAACUAAUAGAAUUUGCUCAAAGUUUCUUCAUCACCAGGAAGGAAGGGCUCAAAAACUGAGGAAAAAGAACUUAACAUUUGAAAGUGGAUCUGUUUCAUGAUCAGUUAGAUUCAAAUAUAAGAUCUAAGUCUCUGAUCUGGGAAUGAACUGUUUAUUUGCUUUGGGGCCUCCCUUGCAAAUUAAUUCUGAUAUUCUUUUUCUCCCUUAGAAAAUUCUGACUUUGAAUAACUGGGCAAGUCAUUUAACUUUUCUGGCUUCAGUUUUUUUUUUCUUCUAAAUUUAAUGAGGGAAUUGAACUAGAUUGCCUCGAAGAUUUUCUUCCUAACCUAAAAUUUUCUGAUUCUGUCAUUAAGAAAUAGAAAUUUAUUGAGACAGCUAGGUGAUAUAGUAGAUAGACUACUAAUCUGGAGUCAGGGAAACCUGAUUGCAAAUGUGACCUCAGAUACUAGCUGUGUGAUCCUGGGCAAAUCAUUUAACCUCUGUUUGCCUUCGUUUCCUCAACUGGAAAUUGGGGGUGAUAAUAAUACCUACCUCCCAGGGUUGCUGUGAAAAUCAAAUGACACAAUAUUUGGAAAGUGGCACAUAGUAGGUGCUAUAUAAAUACUAGCUGCUAUGAUUCUUAUCAUUGCUAUUAUUAUUUAUAGCCCAUUUCUUACAUCAUAGUUUCCCCAAGUAUUCCUCUUUUACCUGCUCCUAAACAACCAUCCUAUAGACCAAAUAGUUUGGGUUUUUUGGCUUUUUUUAGAGGCCAAAAAAAGCACAAUUAAUCAAUUCAUUGAAAAAGUACAAAAAUCUGUAGUGUAUAGCACCAACUUCCAGAAAGGGGGUGGGUUGGGAUUGUCUUGUCAUCUCUUCAUUUGUGCCUUGCUUAAUCUUUGUAAUUUUGCUGCACUUGCUUUUCGGUUUUUUUUGGGUAUAAUUCUUUCUGUUUACUUUGGUUUGGGUAAUCGUGUGUGUGUGUGUGUGUGUGUGUGUGUGUGUGUGUGUGUGUGUGUGUGUGUGAUUUUUUUUUUGCUCUGCUCACUUUACUCUAUCUUACAUAUAGCAUUUACAUUUGUAUUCAUCACACAUCAUUUUUUAUUGCAUAGUAAUAUUCCAUUACAUUCAUGUGCCACAAUUUAUUUAGCUAUUUCCCAGUUGAUAGACAUCUAUUUUGUAAAAAAAAAAUGCUGCUAUAAAUAUUUUGAUGUCUGUGGGAACUUUUUUCUUGUCAGUGACUUCCCCAGAGAGUACCAGCCCAGUUAUGGAGUUAAAAGGUAUGGGCAUUUAGUCACUUUUUUUGCACAAUUCCAAGUUGUUUUCUAAAAUGGCCAGACCAGACCAUCUUAAAGCUCUGCCAACAACGUAUUAGUGUGUUUUUUAUUCUAUAAUCCCUCUAAUGUUGAGUGUUGCUAUUUGGGGUCAUUUUGCCAAUUUUCAGGGUGUGAGAUAAAACCUUAAAAUUUACCUUUCUCUUAUUAAUGAUUUUAAACAUUCUUCAUAUCUUUUAACCACUUAUCUGUUGGGGUAAUAGCCAUUACUCUUAUUUUUCUAAUUAUCUUUUAACUGUUAAAUCUGUUGGCCUUUCCUAAGACUUCAUUCUGUUUGACCUUUAUGAAGCUUUUGUUAUGGUCAACCACCCCUUGUCCUGGUUGCUCUUUCUUCCCUUGGUUUCUGUGGUAGAGUUCACCCAGUUUGUCUGACCAUUCUUAGCGACCACAUUUGGGGUUUUCUUGGCAAAGACACUGGAGUAGUUUGCUAUUUCUUUUUCUAGUUCAUUUUACAGAUGAGGAAACUGAGGCAAACAGGAUUACACUUGCCUGAGGUCACACUGCCAGUAAGUGUCUCUGAGACUGGCUUUGAACUAACUUAUGAAUGUGAAUCUUCCUGAUUCCAAGCCCAGUGCUCUAUCCACUGUCCCAACAAAGUUUUCCUGACUAUUCUUUGUUAGUUCUUUCCUGCUUUUAUCAUUCAUUUCUAAUCUCCUAAACAUGAAUUUUCCUUCAGUGGACUCUUCUCUUGACAUUUCUGUCUCACUGUCAUGGACAUUGUGGCAGUUAAAAUAGUGGGAGCCAUAAACUGUAAUAGUUAAAAUGGUUGAAGGCUAUAAACUGUAGUGAGUAAAAAUAGUUGAAGACUUAAAUUAUAGUAGAUAUAAGAGUGAGUGAGUAAAUUUGUGACCGCAGGAAAUAUGUUUUCACUACAGUGUCUUGUUUUUAAAUCAAUAUAUAAGGUGGUCGCCAGGGAAAUAUUCCCAAUUAUAAAUAUACCCAAGUCAACUGGGUUUUAUAGAGAAUUUAAUUAAUAAUACAAUGAGGAAUCAAAGAAAGAGAGAGAGAGAAAAAGGAAAUAAAUGAGAAAAGAAUAGGCCGACCCAGGCAGCUCUGGCCAACCCAGGCUUAAGCCCUAAAAGAAAAGAUCAGUCAGUCCUUAAUCACUCACCAUAAGAUCUGUUCAAGCGAGGAUUCAGGGGGAUAGAGUCUCCCCAGAGGGAGUUCCAGCCAGAGUCAGCCUCCCUUGAGAGACCUCCUUAGAGAUUGUCCUUCUCUCAACAAUCUCCUUAGAGGCUUUCUCUCAAGAGACUCAUCUCUUUCAACAGCCUGUCCUUUUUUUAUAUAGGGGGUUUUCUCCUAUGUCACCUUCCCUAAGUUCUUCCAUCUACCAAUCAUAGUAGACAUUUUCCAAAGGACAGCCCAUUCUGAAUUCACACCUGAGUAGACUAAUCCUUUUAGUAAUCCACACCUGAGUAGGCUAGAAUCUCUGAGUAAGUUUUUUCUUCUUUGCUCCUUGUAAGUUCACAAGUUGCCUGACCUUUAUAGGUACUUAGCACCCCUUUGUAUUAAUUCUAAAAAUAGGCAUGGCUUAAGUAUGGGUUUAAGUAUUUUUCAUUGUUCAGCAAGGAGUUCUCUCCCCUAAAGCAGUCUUAAGUACAGGUGGAGUAGAGGUCUUCCCAUUUUUGAUCUAAGUAGAGUUCUCACUGUCCAAAUGGGGAAUGUUCCCAAUAGGGAAUUGUCCCAAUGGAGAAUUCCCUAAUGGGGAAUUUUUUAACAUUCACAAGUCUGAGAAAUUUCAAGAUUCACAACAUUUCACAUUUUAUUUUAUCUCUAUACAAAUGAUUUCCCCAGUUUAGUUUCCUGAACUUUCUAGCUGCCUCUUGGACAUCUCUUCCUUUAAUGUCUUGUAUGCUUCUGGAAGCUCAGCAUGUCCCAAACACAGUUCAUUUUCUUUUCUGUUAAAUCUGCCCUUCUUCCAACCUUAUUUCUGAUGAAGGCACCACUGGCUUUUUAGUAGACCAUAAGCUCCUUGAGGACAGGGAUUCUUUCCGUUUUUGUGUCUGCAUCUCCAGUAGCCAGCACAAAGCUUGUACAUAGAGUAAGCUGGUCGAAUGAACCUAUCAUAGGUAAACCUGAAGAUAUAUCUUAGUUGUAAGAGGCUAGAUUAAGGGAGGAGGGUGAAUAGAUUUGGUCAUUGAGGAGGAGGAGUCACUUAAGAAGCCAUCGUUGAUUGCAGGCUAGGUAGGGGAAGGACCAGAGCUCUUAAGGAGGGUUAGCUGACCACAUCUGGUUAGCCUGAAACAUUAUAGGAUAUUGAGACAGGACCUAGUCCAACCUCUUCAUUUUAGAGAUGAGACCAUUUUACAGAUGAGGAAGGUUGUGACUCUUCCCAGUUUGGUUGAUUGGUUGUCCUUCGUACACACUAUGUUGGGGUACAGGUACAGUGUGUGCAACCAUGCCUGAUCAGACUACAUAGACCUAUCUAAUGUAGACCAUCGCUACCAUCAAGAAGCAAGGACAGGAUUUGAACCUACAUUUUCCAAAUUUAUUAUAUUCAAUAAGCUUUUAUUCAUUUUGUUUUUAAUCCAUCAAAGAAUCUUACUGUAAAUCUUUGGUAAAGUAACAAAUCAUCUCUUCUCCCCUAUUCUCAAUGAUCUUAAUGGUAGAUCUGGUCUUUUAUUUAGUGCUUCCAGCCAUGUAACUUCUGUCUCCCCACUUCCUUUCAAUAAAUUCCAGUGAUAUCCUACCACUUUUGGGAUCAAAUCUUCCGGCAGAGUCCUUCACAAUUUACCACCUCCACCCCCACUCCCACCCCCACCCUCUUUCUAGUCUUACAUCUCCUUCCCUGCUGUGUACUCUUCCUUGCUCUUUGCUGUGCCCUGAACAGAACACUCCCAUCUCUCACCUCCUAGCAAUUUCUCUGACUGUUCGUGCUUUUCUCCCUCCUCAUCUCUGCCUCCUGGUUUCUCUAGUUUCCUUCAGAUCCCACCUUCAAUAGGAAAUCUUCCUCAUCUUAGCACUCUCCCUUUUUCAGUUUCUUCCUGUCUGUCCUUUAUAAAGUUGUACAUAUUUAUUUCUUGCGUAUCCCGGUGUAUUAUGAACUCUUUGAAAAAGAAAAUUUUUUUUUGCUUCAUUUUGUAUCCCCAGCACAUAGCAUAGAGCUUGGCAUGUAGUAGGUGCUAAAGAAAUGCUUAUUGACUGACUUCUCAAGCAUGAUACAUCUGUAUUUUAGGUGGUUGUUGAUAGUUCCACAUGAUAUGGAAGCCUAUGGAAGGCCUGAAUGGCUGUAGAUAGUGAAUAUUGAAUUCUGAGCUUUUGAAUUGUUGCAUGGUAGAAUUUUAGAGUUGGAACUUGAGAGAUCCUAUAGGUCAGCCUCUCAUUUUUCAGGUGAGGAAAUGGAUAUAUAGAAAAAUGAAAUCAUUUGUCCAAGGGAAUUUAAAUAUUUCCAUCUAAGUCACGAUGUUGGGAGCAUUUGCUUGAGAAAAAAGUUUCAGGUAGAAGGUUGCACCUGAACUGAGUCUUGAAGGAAAUCAGGGACCUGAUUUCAUAGGAGGAAAAUUUUUAUGUGUGUGGCGGGGAGGAUCAUAAAGAUGCUAAAAACAAGGACUUUCAGAGAUGAUUCUGUUUGGAGCAGCAAAUUCACCUAUCCACACCAAUCCUUCUUAACUUGUAUCCCGGCAGGUCAGUUGCUGGGAAGGAGAUCUAAGGUAGAUUGGCUAAAAAGUAAAGCUGUGAGAUUCAAGAGAUUUUCUUUGUUGAAAAGUGUAAAAUUCUCUGACUUAUCAAGGUGAGUAGAAGUCUUUAGAAGUGAUCUAAACAGGGGUGUCAUAUGUUGCAAACUUUUGUUACGUCUCUGUCCUAAAUCUCACUCUUACUCUAAAAUGCUUGCUUUGUGAUAGGUAAUAUUCAAGGUAUUGGGGAUACAGAUAGUAAAGUGAUAAAUUAGUCCUCCCUGUUCUUCCAUUUACAUUCUAAUUGGAGAGAAGACAAAUAUAGGAGAGUUCAAUUGCUAGGGUGGAAUUGGGUGCUGGUUGAUAGGAUUUCAACAUUUCUUAUUUUCUGAGUUGUGGAUAUUGCAAUCUAAAUGUUAAGAUUCCAGUGGUUAAAUCUACCUAUUUUAAAGCCACUUAAGGCAAUUUAUAAUUAAAUUUUUUUACAAUUACUUUUAGAGCUAAAUUAUUAGUGAUAUAAAUAUUGUCACAUUUAACUUGAAAUACAGAUAAUUACUAAACUCAGUAUAAGACAUUUAACCACUGACAGUUUUACAGCAAGUUUUGUUUGUGUUUUUUAAAUAAUUUUGGGGCCACGUAGAUGGCAUAAUGGACCAGACCUAGGAUCAAGAGGACCUGGGUUCAAAUUUGGACAUUUCUUAGCUGUGUAACCCUGGGCAAGUCUCUUAAUUCCAUUUGUCUAGCCCCUGCUCUCCUGUCUUAGAAUUAUUACUAAGAUAGAAGGUAAUGGUUUUAAAAAAUAAUGAUAAUCUUUAUUUUAAUAAUAAAUUUCUAUAUACGUUUUCCAAAGUUAUAGGAUUCAUGCUGUCUCCCUCCCUUUUUCCUCCCCCACCUCCCCCCCGGAGUUUAUGAGCAAUUCAAUCUGGGUUAUAUAUGUAUUAUCAUGCAAAACAUUUCCAUAGUUGAUACUAAUUUUGACAUAGUAAGACAUGCAAUCCUUUUGCAGUUAGCAUUUUGUCAAAAGAAGGGAAGCCAUUUAGUUUUAACAAGUUGGUACUGAGCCAUUUAGUCUAUUUAACCUGAGUUUUGUUGACCUUUAAGGUUGUCUUCAUUUAUAGUUGUUCAUUUGUAUAUUCUUUAUACAUCUUCAUUCUGUAUCACAUCUUGUCAGUCUUUUUUACUUUCUUUUUUUUAUUCUUCAUGUUCAUUGCAACUUGUGGUAUAAUAAUCGUUUGCAUCCUUAUGCCAUGUUUUAUUCCAGGGCUGUUUAUUCUACCUAAUUCUUUGGAGAUAAGGGUUUUGCUGGUUUUAAUGCCUCUAAACCUGUGUUGGUGAACCUAUGGCAUGGGGGCUGGAGGGGACUGAUCUCCUUCCCCCUCCCCCAUGCCUGAGGACAUUUCUCCCAUGACCCACCCCUCUGCCCAGCAGCCCAAUGGAAGUUCUUCUUCUCUCCUCUGUCUGGGGUCAGGUGGGGGGCUUGCAUGUGAUAGGAGGGUUGCAGUUUGGGCACGUGUCUCUAAAAGGUUUGCCAUCACUGCCCUAAAUGGCUCUUUAGUAUUGAGUAGAACUCAUCUGACCACUGCAGGUUGGCACAUUUCUGCCUAAAGAUAUGCAUUCAGGCUGGUACUCACCUAAAAUCUUUUCAUUGCCGAGUCCUGUCUCUGAAUUUUCUAAUGGAAGCAUAAAGCUCAGUAAUCAAUGAAGAUUUUAUCAUUGCUUGUCAAUGAACAAGUGUUUGAGCAGCGCAUGGACUGUGCCUAGCAGGAUGCUAUAGGAGGUCUAAAAGUGUGGGACAGGCUGCCUGCCUUUGUCUAAAGCUCUCACAUCUCACUCGCGUGAUAGGAGGGGAAUCGCUGUCCUCUCCUCCUCGUUCCCCUCACGACAGCUUGGUCCUGCACAAGGGCGAAGGCUGGUAGAGAGGAAGAUCGGGGAGAAGGUCAUUGUGGCAUCCAGGCUCGCAGUCAAAGGCUGGGACUCGAGUAGCGGCCACAGUAGGACCAGAAGGGAGGGAGUGGAGGCAGGAGGCAGCGGGACGGUGGAAUGGGGGGACACCAGAAGGAGGAACAUACCUUGGGUUUAAGGGACCAGCGACUUUAUCUAAAUGGAGCUCUAGAGUGGGCCAUUGGAAAUGCACGUCUGGAGCGAAGGAGGUGGGUCAGAAUCCGACAUUUCAAAGCCAUUCAUCAAUGAGCAUUUAUAUUCCUGCAGUGUUCCAGGCACCGUACUAGGCACUGGGAAUACCGAGACAGACACAGACACACAGACACAUAAGAGAGAGUGUGUGUAUGUGUGUGUAUAUACAUGUAUAAAAUAUAACAUGUAAAAAUAAAUAUGUAUGUAAUUAUACAAAAUGGAUCCAAGAUAGUUCGGGAAAUGAGUAAGCUUGCUACUAGAGGGACUAGAAAAGGCUUCACUUAGAACGCAGUACCUGAGCUGAAUCUUCCAGGAAAUCGGGGAUCUGGGAGGUGGAGGUGAGGGAAUGAUUGCAUUGCUGGCCCUGGGGCAGCCUUUGUGAAGGCACAGAGAAGGAGCAGAGUGUGUGUAGAACAAGUUGGCCAUUAUGAUUAGAUGGCAGGGAUUGUCGAAGGGAAUAAUAGAUCAAAAGACAAGAAAGAUAGGAAGGAACCAGGUUGAGAAGGGCUUUGAAUGCCAAGCAGGAAUUUAUACUUGAUCUUAGAGGUUAUGGGGGAACCAGAAGAUAACAUGCUGGAACAGUAUUGUGAAGGAGAAUAUCAGGAAAUAAUCCAGAUGACUGGAUUCCCUUGGUGACAUUUAGAAAGCAGCUGGGUUUGGGGAGAGGAAAGUUCUGUUUUGGACUGGUUGAGUUUGAGAUGCUUAUGAGACAUUUCAAUUCAAAGUUGUCAAGAAGGAAUUCUUGAUGCAGGAGUGCAAUUUAGGAGGGACGUUAGGGAUGGACACAGAUUUAGAAGUAAUCCCUGUGGAGGAGCCAAUUGAACCCAUGGGAAAUGAGAUUCCCCAAGUAAGAAUGUGGAGAAAAAAAGAGAAGGGUUAGGGCAUUGGGGUGCACCCAUAGUCGUGUGCCAUAGGUGAUGAAAAAGUAAAGAACUGAGGAACAGUCGGACAGAGGGGGAACCAGGAGAAAGUGUCACGAACAUCUCAGGAGGAAAAGAGUAUCUGGGAAGAGAAGUCAUCGUUGUCCUGCUGCAAAGAGAUCAGGAAGGAUGUGUUUGCCAGAAAUAGUGUCAGACUUGGAAACGGGAAGACUUGGGUUUGAAUCCUUCCUUAGACAUAGAAUAGUUAUAUUAUCCUUGGCAAAUAGUGGAGCUUCUUUGGGCUUCCAUUUCCCUCAGGAGAAUGAGAUGGGGAAUCGGUGUCAAAAUAGCUUAGGGGUAAUGAACCUUAGAUGUUUUGCUAUUUUCCCUAGUCUUAUUUAGUAGCCACGUAGCAGAAUUCACAUGGCCACCGUUAUUAUUUAGUUGAUGAUUAGGAUUUGUCAAGCAGAGGAGGGAAAAUGAAUGAUAGUGAAUCACUGAAGUGGAUUUACUUUGAGGUCAAGACUAAUCAGGAAAGUGAGAGCCACUAGAGUGGCAGAGAUAGAUGGGAAGGACAUGGUGCCAUUUAUCACGUCAGCAUGGCUCUCCUUUCUCUACCCUAGAAAAUGGCUUUCUUCUUCUACCUUCCCUUUCCCAUGUUAAAUAAAAUUCAUUAAAAAAAACUGGUGUUAGAGGCUUUGUUUUAUUUUUAUUUCUUAAAGCUCAUACCUUCUGUAUUAGAAUCAAUAUUAAGUAUUGAUUCCAAGGCAGAAGAGUGGAAAGGGCUAGGCAAUUUGAGUCAAGUGACUUACCUAGGAUCACACACAGCUAGGAAGUAUUUGAGGUCUGAUUUGAAUCCAUGACCUCUUGCCUUUACACUUGGCUCUAUCCACUGAGCCACUUAGCUGCUCUUAGUGGCUGUUUUUAAGGGAAGGGAAAAAAAAUGUGCUAAAAAUCAGAUCUCACUCUCACCAGAUCAACUUGUAUAUUUUACUGGAAACCAGCUUAUCUUGACUUUCCUUUUUCUGUUAGUGGUACCCCUAAUCCCGCCUGUCAGCUUCCACUUCUCUUCUGUCCGUUGUCUGAUCUUAGAGAUCCGUUCUUUCUUCAGAAUGUGUUUUCCCAUCCCUUCUUCUCUCCCCUCCAUCAUUCCUUAGUCCAGGCCUCCAUAUCUUGUGUCUAGAGUAUAUGGCUCUAUGCCUAACUUCUUGCACCCAAUCCAUUUUACGCAGUACUGCCAGGUUCGUUUUGAGGACUCCCCUAUCCUCAAGCUCUCCUCAGCUCAUUUCCCUACCCGAGUGUAUUUAAGGACAAUCAGUUGUCUGCCCGAUUCAGUCCAUAAGAGCCCUCCCCAGUCUGGCCCCAUCUUGCUGCUCUAAUUCCCAUACACACUACUCUGGUCAGAUGAGACUGCUCUCAACCUUUCUUUGUUCCCACCUUCGUGCCUUUGCUCCCUCUUUUCUUUACACCUGGAACAUUCUUUUGGCUCUCUGCCGGCUGAAGCCACGUUGAACCCCUGAGAACUAAUCAUUAGCUCGUUGGAAUCUUCUUAAUUGGAAUCUGCCUCUGCCCCCCCAGAUGUAACACUCCUUUGUCUAAAUCCCAAGAGCCUGUCACACCUCCUCUGGUACUGUGCAUGGGCUACGUUUACAUUCUCGUCUAUAUUCUCCACUAGCAUCUAUGUUUGCUAAGCCCAGAGAUUUUCCUAGUCUUAUUUUUCCCCCUCAAUAAGGCCAGUACAGAGCUCAAUACAUUAUUUCUUACUGAACCAGACAAUGGUCUUUCCUUUUUAAAAGCUGAUCUUUUUAUUUAAAUGAAAUAAAGUCAGGCAGACCGGCAAUUGAACUUCCAUGGUCUCUAAUUUUCUUCUAGAAGCUGCUUAAACUUGGACUUCAGGGUUCUCAUCAUUUUAUUAGUGAGGAAACUGGCUUAGAAGGGGAAAUGAUUUUUCCAAAGUUAUGGAGCUAUCCAUUGGAAGAGCUGGGAGAAGACUCCCGGUCUCUGGCUCUAUCACUCCCCCAUCUCAAAGCAUCCUCUGCUUUUAGUGGAAUUUGUGAUGUCAAAUAUAGGAGGAAAAAGAUAAGCUUAAAUUUUAGUGGAAUUUUUCUUUCAGGGAGUUUGAUAUACCUCUUUUUGGAGCCCUUCCCAUAACUCUUACAAACCUGUGGGAAGAACAACAGAGCUUUGGAUUAGUGCACUCACUAAUCAGUGACUUCAAACACCAGCAAAAAUCCUGCUAUAAAAUUUUGCUAUACAAAGGGUGGGUUAAGGAUGCAUAUGGAAAAAAACAAUACUUAAUUAUUUAUGGAAAGUUAUAGAAAAUAGGUGAAUGGGUAAGGAAAGCAGCGAAUUAAAUUUUGUGAAAUGCUUAUUUUUGUGGUGCGCUGGCUUCAAAUUGGAUUUCAGAGACUUGCAUGACCCUGGGCAAGUCACUUAACUCCAGUUACCUAACCCUUACUACUCCUCUCUGCUCUGGAACUCAUACUUUUAUUGUUUCUAAAACAGAAGGUUAUGGGUUUUAAAUUUUUUUUAAUGCUUACUGUCUCCUAGUAGGGUUUGGGGAAAAUGCAAUAAUUAAAUAAGACAAGGUCCUUGCCUUCAUUGAUGUGAAACUCUUAGAGGACUUUGUAAAGUGUUUUGUUUGAAUAAUCUUAUCUGUGCUACACAACCACUUUGUGAGGUAAGACUAUUGGGAUUUUCCCCAUUUAACAGAGGAGAAAGCUAAGGCUUAAUGACUUGUCAAGUAAAUUUUAUGGAGAGAAUUCAAAUCCAAAUCUUCCCGACUCUCCACUAUGCUGUGCUGCCUCUCUUAAGGAGAACUAAAAAUGUGGUCAGGAAGGAAGACUUGUGAAAAAUGAAGUGUCAGAAGCAGUGAAUUGAAGGAAGACAAAUUGUGCUCCGAUGCUUUGGGAAAGUGACUCUCUGAGCCUCAGUUUCCUCUUCUAUAAAAUGAGGGAUGGGGCAAGGGGAUUAGAUGGUCUCUCAAGAUUCCUUUCUUUUUUCCAGACCAUCAUCCCCUGGUACACAUGGAAAUUGAUUUAACUAGACUUACCUAAAUCUAUGUGUACUUUCAAAAGCGGGUCAUGCUUUCAGUUUUGCUGAACUUUGUAUAAGUGGAAAUUUUCUGCUUAUACAACUUUUAACUCCCACCUGUCCUUACAACAGCCCAGGACCCUGAACUCAGUAUAGUAGUGCCCCCAAGUACCAAUCCUGCUUCCAAACUGGCCCCCACAGCCUUCCUUGGAGGAACAACCCUUAUGGAGAUGCAGCCUGGUAGGAACUGCUCCUGAAGCCAAAACCCCGGCACCUCUCGGCCACUGAAGACCACUAAAGACCCAGAAAAGAAGUUCUCUACACCAGAAGCCCUUGGCCCUGUCAGGUGGUUCAAUGGAAAUGAUAUUAAAAGUGAUUCAUAACCCUUUGCUUGGUUUCUGCCCCCCGGAGAACCAUGGCACCUUCCCAUCUGUCGCGUAGCUGCACCCAGGUGUGUGAUCUCCCCGUGUGAAUGUGAGCUCCUUGAGCAGGGACAGGCUCUGCUCUUCUGUGGGUACCCCCAGCAUUUAGCCCAGCAGAGUAAAAACUUCGAUCCAUUCAGUCUCUCCUUAUACGUAAUCUUUUACCGAAGUGUAGGCAUUUUCAUAUUUUUGGGGCAGGGGAACAGUGCAGGGAACACAGGAGAAUAAUGGAAAGUAAUGACUUGUGCUUAUUUCCAGGUAUUUUGAUUUCUUCUCUCAUGUACUGGGAAACAAAAUGUUCACGUGAAGAAUCAAAUCGAUGAUUCCCAACUUCAUAAACUCAUUAUCUUUAGCCCUUGGGUGGAAAUAGGAGUGGAGGAAACAGGAGAAAGUCUUGGGGUUCUGGGUAGUGGUAGGCACCAAGGAAGGUGUCUGAGCUCUGGCUUCUUUGCAGACAGCCUUGUUUUUAAGGUCUUCUAAUCUGACACGAUGAGUUCAGGCAACAUGGGCGCCAUCUUCCUAGGCUCCUAAGAUCAUCAAGAUUUGGACUCUGUUGUCAUUCUGUGGUUAAGUGGCCAGAAUUGGUAUGAGGAUUGGAGGGGGAAAGUGGUAAGGAAGAUUGGUGGGGAAAUAAGAAAGAAGGUCCAGUACAGAGAUCUAUUGCUUAUGAAAAAAAUAGAUAUUUCUAGGAUUCAGGUUAGUAUUCUGGGUCUAAGUAGUCCUCCACUGCCACCUGGAAUUGAACAUCCCAACCCUUUAUCCUAGGCUCUGAUGGGUGAGUCACCUCAUUUUGUGAGCCCACCAUUCCACUUCCCAGGCCCCGUUCAUGCUUCCCUGAUCCCUUCCUCUCCAACCCUAGCUCAGAAAAUAAUUAUGAAAACACACUACUAUCCUUGGUAAGGGGGUGCCAAUUGUUUACUCGAUUAUUCUAAUCCCUGUUUAUUCUAAUCACCAUUUUUUAAAAUUCCCCUUUCUAAAAAACUUCCUUAGCCACUUCUAUAGGCUUAAAAAAAUCCCAAACCACCCUCACCUUUUAAGACAGAAGCUAGCAAAGGCUAGGCAAUUGAGGUUAAGUGACUUGCCCAGGGUCCCACAACGAGGAAGUGUCUGAGGGCGCAUUUGAACUCAGGUCCUCCAGACUCCAGGCCUGGAGCUCUAUCCACUAUACUAGCAGCUGCCCCAACUCUUCUUCUCUGUAUGUCUAUUUAAAGGCAGGGACUGUCUUGUUUGCUUGUAGAAUUUUAUUUGGGCUACACAACCACCCUGUGAGGUAAGACUGUUGGUAUUAUGCCCAUUGAACGGAGGAGAAAGCUGAGGCUUAGUGACUUGUAUCCCUCUCCCUUUGCUGCAGUGUCUCAGCAGUGAGUGCUUUUCGUUCAUUGAUUCUUUAAACAGACACAUCCCUAUUUGUUCAGCAGGUUAACCCGUGUUUCUUUGGCAGACAAGGGGAGCACGGAGAGGGUUUUAAGCAACAGGGGCAGGAGAACCACGUAUGAGAGGUAAAUGUGGGAGUGGUGAGGGCUGGAUUGGAGGAAGGAGAGAACGCUGAAGUAGGGAGACCAGUACCAGGGCGGCAGCUCGGGCAAGGCCAGAGAGAAAAGAUGUAAGGCAGAAUGCAUAGGGAGAUCCCCUCGUUUUAUAGGCAGGAAAUGAAGACCCACAGAGGUUUAUUGACUGGUCCGAGUUCUUUGGGUUGGCAUGGGGCAGAGGCAACAUUUGAACUCGGGACUCGAAAUCUGGUCCUUCUACAUCUUAUCAGGGAAGAGGCAAGUGCUGGGUACUGCGUGUUCCGCAACUCUGCAAAUGUUUGUCGAUUGAGGAAAAGCUUCUCUGAACUAUUAAGCAAACGGAGCCAAGAGUGUCGCCUUUUCUGUUGCCUGAGACGUGUUUAAUCUGUUGGGGGAAGGAGCAAGAAAAGCCUGUUCGAGUGGGAGAGAUUUUGUUUCUCAGAUGGUUCCCGAUGGCCUUUCGUACAAAUGUUCUGACAUACAAAUUGGCCUGCUCCUUCCAUCCACCUGUUCGCCCGCUCUAGGGGCCGGCUGCAGUGUUUAAAACCAAGCAUCCGGCGAGCCCACGUCCACCCUUUGCUGCUGCUCGUGUCCCUAGGGUUUCUCUGCUCUCCUCUGGGGGGGGCAUUAGAAACGGUUGCUGGAUUUUUGGCAGAUCAUCCCUUCCUGCUGCCCCCCCUCAGAAAAGGACAGCUUGAAAUCCUACCCCUUCCCUCCCAGGGGAAGGCCUGACCAGGCGGAGGGAGCUCCUUCGGACAGCACACUGCUGAGACAGCAGUGAUAGGUAGAUAGAUAGACAGAAGAACUGUCUCCCCAGGAGACAGACCCAGCCCCAGGGUCACACGGGGAAUCCCCUUCGCUCUCCAGGUUUCUUCUUUCCGUCGGGAAUGAUCUUUCACCGUGGCUAGAGGAGGCGUCUCCUUGGUCUUCCAGGAAAACUUGUUCUCUGGAGCUGAGGAGGUCCGUGCAGCCUAGAACGCGAAGGGAAAGUUUAGCUUCGGAAGCCGGGUAAAGAUGGCACUACUAAUCUUAUACUCCAAAGAGGUUUUAAAAAAAGGAAAAGAUCUGUGUGUCUGAAAAGAUGCAUAGCGGCUCUUUUGGAAGGGAAGGGGGCUCCUACCAGUUGGGGAUUGGCUGGACAGACGAUGCUGUAAGUAGCGGAAUGUGACUGUCCCACGAGACGUGAUGAAAGGGACCGUUUUAGAAAAACCCAGGGAGAUGCGUAUGAAGGGGUGCAUAGCGAAGUGAGCAGAACCAGGAGAAAAACCGAUAUGAGCGUAACAGAUACAGGCAAUUUGGAAAGACAAGAACUGCGAACAACCAGUGCAGUGAAUGGAGGAUGAACCGCGCUGCCCACUUCCUGACCAAGAGAGGAUGGACUCAGGAAACACAACGAACCAUCAACAUUUCUACUUGGCCAUCCUGGGGAUUUGUUUAUAAUGCAGAUUUGCUAUAAGAUUUUUUUUUCCCCCACAAAUUUUUUUUUGUGGGGAGGAGAGAUGGGAGGGAGGAAAAAGAAAUACUUGUUCAUUGGACAAAUAAAUAAGUUUAAAAUGAAA